ACUCCUACGGGAGGCAGCAGUUAGGAAUCUUGGACAAUGGGCGCAAGCCUGAUCCAGCCAUGCCGCGUGAGUGAUGAAGGCCUUAGGGUUGUAAAGCUCUUUCAGCGGGGAAGAUAAUGACGGUACCCGCAGAAGAAGCCCCGGCUAACUUCGUGCCAGCAGCCGCGGUAAUACGAAGGGAGCUAGCGUUGUUCGGAAUCACUGGGCGUAAAGCGCACGUAGGCGGAUUUGUAAGUCAGGGGUGAAAUCCCGGGGCUCAACCUCGGAACUGCCUUUGAUACCGCAAAUCUCGAGUCCGAUAGAGGUGGGUGGAAUUCCUAGUGUAGCGGUGAAAUGCGUAGAGAUC
rnacentral:rRNA from 1 species